rnacentral:rRNA from 2 species
ACUUAAAUUGAAGAGUUUGAUCAUGGCUCAGAUUGAACGCUGGCGGCAGGCCUAACACAUGCAAGUCGAGCGGUAGCACAGAGAGCUUGCUCUCGGGUGACGAGCGGCGGACGGGUGAGUAAUGUCUGGGAAACUGCCUGAUGGAGGGGGAUAACUACUGGAAACGGUAGCUAAUACCGCAUAACGUCGCAAGACCAAAGUGGGGGACCUUCGGGCCUCAUGCCAUCAGAUGUGCCCAGAUGGGAUUAGCUAGUAGGUGGGGUAACGGCUCACCUAGGCGACGAUCCCUAGCUGGUCUGAGAGGAUGACCAGCCACACUGGAACUGAGACACGGUCCAGACUCCUACGGGAGGCAGCAGUGGGGAAUAUUGCACAAUGGGCGCAAGCCUGAUGCAGCCAUGCCGCGUGUGUGAAGAAGGCCUUCGGGUUGUAAAGCACUUUCAGCGGGGAGGAAGGCGUUAAGGUUAAUAACCUUGGCGAUUGACGUUACCCGCAGAAGAAGCACCGGCUAACUCCGUGCCAGCAGCCGCGGUAAUACGGAGGGUGCAAGCGUUAAUCGGAAUUACUGGGCGUAAAGCGCACGCAGGCGGUCUGUCAAGUCGGAUGUGAAAUCCCCGGGCUCAACCUGGGAACUGCAUUCGAAACUGGCAGGCUAGAGUCUUGUAGAGGGGGGUAGAAUUCCAGGUGUAGCGGUGAAAUGCGUAGAGAUCUGGAGGAAUACCGGUGGCGAAGGCGGCCCCCUGGACAAAGACUGACGCUCAGGUGCGAAAGCGUGGGGAGCAAACAGGAUUAGAUACCCUGGUAGUCCACGCCGUAAACGAUGUCGAUUUGGAGGUUGUGCCCUUGAGGCGUGGCUUCCGGAGCUAACGCGUUAAAUCGACCGCCUGGGGAGUACGGCCGCAAGGUUAAAACUCAAAUGAAUUGACGGGGGCCCGCACAAGCGGUGGAGCAUGUGGUUUAAUUCGAUGCAACGCGAAGAACCUUACCUGGUCUUGACAUCCACAGAACUUAGCAGAGAUGCUUUGGUGCCUUCGGGAACUGUGAGACAGGUGCUGCAUGGCUGUCGUCAGCUCGUGUUGUGAAAUGUUGGGUUAAGUCCCGCAACGAGCGCAACCCUUAUCCUUUGUUGCCAGCGGUCCGGCCGGGAACUCAAAGGAGACUGCCAGUGAUAAACUGGAGGAAGGUGGGGAUGACGUCAAGUCAUCAUGGCCCUUACGACCAGGGCUACACACGUGCUACAAUGGCAUAUACAAAGAGAAGCGACCUCGCGAGAGCAAGCGGACCUCAUAAAGUAUGUCGUAGUCCGGAUUGGAGUCUGCAACUCGACUCCAUGAAGUCGGAAUCGCUAGUAAUCGUAGAUCAGAAUGCUACGGUGAAUACGUUCCCGGGCCUUGUACACACCGCCCGUCACACCAUGGGAGUGGGUUGCAAAAGAAGUAGGUAGCUUAACCUUCGGGAGGGCGCUUACCACUUUGUGAUUCAUGACUGGGGUGAAGUCGUAACAAGGUAACCGUAGGGGAACCUGCGGUUGGAUCACCUCCUUACCUUAAAGAA